rnacentral:lncRNA from 1 species
GUUUGUUUAAAUGUUAACACUUUAAAAGGUUAUUAGUCAUGCCGAAAUUUUGUCAUUUCGGUAUUAUUUGAUCUUUUUGGUGUACAGUUCUCAUUUGUCAAUAUCGUUAAUCAUAUCUGUAUACUUAAAUAUGUCCACAGUAUGAUCCGGAUCGUCAAUUCUAAGCUAUCGAUUUAAUAAUGUACCGUAUCUACCAAGUCAUCACAAUAGUAGAUGUUUUUCACUUGUUCCGUUGAUCAUAUUUAUUGGUAGCGUUUGAUUUUUUUUCAAUUUUCUUGGACUUUACCCUUUUUUUAAAUUUGCCUUGGAAUUCAGUAUUCAUGUUAUUCCUUUUACUAUUUUCCCGCUUUUUAAACUCUAAUUUAAUUACGUAACUUUGAAUUUCAUUCAUGAAAAUCAUCAUGCCAUCGCAAUUUUUUUAAUUCAAUUCCAGAAUGGCAAUACUUUUCAGACUUUCAACAUGUUAGUCUACAACUAUAAGUUAUCUUGGCUAUAGCUCGUAUUGAAAUUAAC